rnacentral:rRNA from 1 species
UGGGGAAUAUUGGACAAUGGGGGCAACCCUGAUCCAGCGAUGCCGCGUGUGCGAAGAAGGCCUGCGGGUUGUAAAGCACUUUGGUUGGGGAAGAAGGUUGAUUAUCGAAUAGAUGAUUGAAUUGACGUUACCCAAAGAACAAGCACCGGCUAACUCUGUGCCAGCAGCCGCGGUAAUACAGAGGGUGCGAGCGUUAAUCGGAAUUACUGGGCGUAAAGGGUGCGUAGGCGGUUUUUUAAGUUAGAUGUGAAAUCCCCGGGCUUAACCUGGGAAUUGCAUUUAAGACUGAAGAGCUAGAGUAGAGUAGAGGGAAGUGGAAUUUCCGGUGUAGCGGUGAAAUGCGUAGAUAUCGGAAAGAACAUCAGUGGCGAAGGCGGCUUCCUGGACUCAUACUGACGCUGAGGCACGAAAGCAUGGGGAGCAAACAG